rnacentral:misc_RNA from 1 species
UUGGAAUGAUAUCAGCAGUGAUCGUGUGUUUACAAAUAGAACGCGUUGACCCAACUCCGGAGAGUCUCCCUUAACAGAUCAAGAUUUUUCGAUCGUAUAUGUAGCUGUGUGGAACCUAAUCUCCCAUGUAUAGCAUGGUCACAGCCAUCCUACUUCUCUUACCAUUACUUUCAGGAACCGUUCUUGGAUCAACAUGUGGCAUUCACUGUUACUUUUGUAAACCGAACGGGUCGUGCACACACUGCAACAGUGGCUGGUAUGGAUCUGGAUGCACCACCCCGUGUCCACAAACCUGUCCCGGGAGCUGUCACAAAACCACAGGAUUCUGCAAGUCCUGUCUAGAAGGAACGUACGGAAACUUUUGUCAAGGGAAAUGUUCUCCGAACUGUAAUGGCGGCAGAUUGUGCAAUCGUUGGGAUGGAGACUGUUCACAGGGAUGUCAGAAAGGUUUCCAUGGUAGUAGAUGCACUGUGAUAUGUGGACACUGUGUAGAUGGAGCUUGUGAGAGACUUUCAGGUAGCUGUAUUGCCGGGUGUACGGACGGAUGGACAGGACAGACAUGCAGUGAAGCGUGCAGGGCUGGAUGUAUCAAAUGUACAACUCCCAAUGCUUGUGUGCUGUGUGACGGAGACCUCCAAGGGCCAUUUUGUAAUGUAACAAAGACGAUGACUAUCUUUCCACCGUCUCCACCAGCCAAAAAACCACCCUUUGAAUGAUUCAGACAUUGCUCAAACUGAUGUGGAGUCUCGAGCAGCUGUUGGCAUUUCCUUGGGAAUAAUAUUCUCAGUUCUCAUUGUCCUCCUCAUUGUAUGCGUAUUUCUAUACACGGACGGAAUUAAAAAAAUCCGUCGAGUGUUUGAUCCGGCACAUAAGACAAAUCGCAACCCCCAUCAGGAACCUCUGUAUCACCACGAUGAAUUAGGUAGUCCAACUAUCAGCAGAAGUCAUCUGAAACUAAAUGAACAUACAGAAAGAAAAUAGAGUGAAGGGCAUUUCUUGAGGAGAUAAUAUGGACCAUUUGAGAUAAACAACGAAAGGCUCGACCACGAAGACGGACCUCAAAACACCUGGUGUCAUCAUUGAUUUCAACAAACUAUUGUUUUUUUUACACCAAAUGGAAUAUGUUUCAGCAGUUAAUUACCCCAUGGGGUUGAUGUUUCAUGUUUCCUUCAAGAGAUUCUGUUGUACAAUGACAACGUGGAAAAUUCUAGGCAUGCAAGGGGAAUAUUACGGUCGAGAAACCCUUUCCGCUGCUUGCCCUACCAACUGCUUCAACUGUGACGACAAGGAUUCAUGCAUCAAUUGCAACAGUGGCUGGUACGGCGAGGACUGUUCAUUGCAAUGUCGGAAAGAUUGUCCCGGAGGUUGUGACAAAGAGGAUGGACAUUGCACAUGUCAAGAGGGAAAAUAUGGCGACUAUUGUACAGACGAAUGUCCUUCUAAUUGUAAAGAGUUAACAAGGACGUCCGGAUAUGAUUCGGUUGCUGCCAUUUCAAUAGGAACCUUUCUUUUAGUGGUGCUUUUACUAGCGUUUACAGGAUGCUCCGUUGCAUAUUGGAAACAUUGGUUUUGCUUUCAGAAGAAGAGAAAGCCGGCGUCCGCAGAGGAACCAAUGUAUCAUUCAGAUCCUUUUGGCAGUCCAACAAUCUCCAGAAGUCACUUCAAUUUGAACAAGCAAGGUCACACGACAAUGGAAGAAGAGGAUGAAUAGUAGAGCAUGCUAGGAGGACUAGUGUGAUGAGUAGGAAGAUGGGGAUGUAUCUUGAAGAUUUAUCUGUGGAGAGUGCUCAACCCCAACCCUUCAUAGUUGUUAAUAUGUAUUAAGGAACCAAGAAAAACAUAAUGAAAGACUAACUCCAGUUAUAA